rnacentral:misc_RNA from 1 species
CAACCCUCAAGCCCGGCUUGGUGUUGGGGCUCUGCGCCUGCAGUCCCUUAAAUCCAGUGGCGGACACGCUAGGUCUCCGAGCGCAGUAGUUUCUUCUCGCUCAGGGCGUCCGGCGUGGGCCUGCCUCGCACCCAUCUUUUACAA